rnacentral:rRNA from 1 species
AGUGAACGCUGGCGGUAGGCCUAACACAUGCAAGUCGAACGGCAGCACAGGAGAGCUUGCUCUCUGGGUGGCGAGUGGCGGACGGGUGAGGAAUACAUCGGAAUCUACUUUUUCGUGGGGGAUAACGUAGGGAAACUUACGCUAAUACCGCAUACGACCUACGGGUGAAAGCAGGGGAUCUUCGGACCUUGCGCGAUUGAAUGAGCCGAUGUCGGAUUAGCUAGUUGGCGGGGUAAAGGCCCACCAAGGCGACGAUCCGGAGCUGGUCUGAGAGGAUGAUCAGCCACACUGGAAAUGAGACACGGUCCAGACUCCUACGGGAGGCAGCAGUGGGGAAUAUUGGACAAUGGGCGCAAGCCUGAUCCAGCCAUACCGCGUGGGUGAAGAAGGCCUUCGGGUUGUAAAGCCCUUUUGUUGGGAAAGAAAUCCAGCUGGUUAAUACCCGGUUGGGAUGACGGUACCCAAAGAAUAAGCACCGGCUAACUUCGUGCCAGCAGCCGCAGUAA